GGUUUUCCAGGAUCUUCAGAAAGUGUAACAGAAUUAAAGUUGGACACAGAACAGGAAUUACAUCAUGCAGGCGAAUCUGAAGAAGAAGGUGACUCGAUUAUGAAGUCCAAAAUACCGAUAUAUGCAUCUUCAACAAGCAAAACAGAAUUGAAGUUUGACACAAAACAGGACAAGGAACCAUAUAACUCGGGCGGAUCUGAUGGGGAAGAUGAUACAGGUAACAGU